ACAAAAUUACAUAGAACAUUUACAUGUAUUAAGUUACUGAAAGUAAGCAUUUUGGCCAUAGAUACCUUUUGUGUACAUUUAAAUGGUCAUAUCACAUUUCAUAUCUCUGUAAGGCUGAUUAUAUUUCAUUGGAAUAAAGAAAGAAAAAAAAAUAUUGUUCAUUUUAUUUUGAAGAAAUUGCUGCCCUGACUGUUACUUCUUUCUUUCUGGCAGAUGGGGACGUGGUUUUGGUUUGGUCCAGUACUUUGUGGCCAAAGAUAGUCCUCUAAACCAGCCCAACAGUGUUCUUGGCAUCAUAUUUUACACUCUGCAGAUGGGCCUUGGACUGUCUGUGUCUAAAAAAGCAGCAGCUUUUUUGGUCUUCUCCUCCUGGGUCUCUGUGGCCGGUUCACUCUAUCUUGCAUCUAUUCUCGCAUUUGUUCUGGGAGACUUCUGCAUGGUCUGUGUCUCCACGUAUAUUGUCAACUUUGCAUUGCUCUACACCAACCUGAAACGGAGGAGAGCAGUUCAGGAAAUUAAGGAAAAAGCCAGAUAGAAAGUGUUGCCUGUGAAAUGUAACAAAUGUUCCCUUCCUGCCUUCCUGAAACCCCGCUGGAUUCAUCUCACAGUAUUUUGCCAGUGUUUACAUGAGUUUACAUUCAGUAUUUUCACAGAAAAACAACUGGAGAUUUAACUCUAAUAUCAGAAUAUCUAUAAGUUGGUUCUCAAUACAGAAACUUUGUUGUGCAGCAGCUACUUUUGUAUAUUGUUAUUAACUUGUAAUGAUUAAAACACAUUUUUGAAUUCUGA